rnacentral:rRNA from 1 species
GACGAGGGAUCCUAGCGUUGUUCGGAAUCAUUGGGCGUAAAGCGGGUGUAGGCGGACUUAUAAGUCAGGUGUGAAAUCCCAGGGCUCAACCCUGGAAGUGCACUUGAUACUGCAAGUCUUGAGUGUGGUAGAGGCUAUUAGAAUUCCUGGUGUAGUGGUGAAAUACGUAGAUAUCAGGAGGAAUACCGGAGGCGAAGGCG